UCGAACGCGUCUCCGUUAAUGAUUUUAGGUGCUUGCACUUGAGAGAUUUAACAUUGAGACGAGUGGCGAACUGGUGAGUAACACGUGGGUAACCUGCCCUUGAAGUAGGGGAUAACACUUGGAAACAGGUGCUAAUACCGUAUAACAACCAAAACCACCUGGUUUUGGUUUAAAAGACGGCUUCGGCUGUCACUUUAGGAUGGACCCGCGGCGUAUUAGCUUGUUGGUAAGGUAACGGCCUACCAAGGCGAUGAUACGUAGCCGACCUGAGAGGGUAAUCGGCCACAUUGGGACUGAGACACGGCCCAAACUCCUACGGGAGGCAGCAGUAGGGAAUCUUCCACAAUGGACGAAAGUCUGAUGGAGCAACGCCGCGUGAGUGAUGAAGGGUUUCGGCUCGUAAAACUCUGUUGUUGGAGAAGAACAGGUGUCAGAGCAACUGUUGACAUCUUGACGGUAUCCAACCAGAAAGCCACGGCUAACUACGUGCCAGCAGCCGCGGUAAUACGUAGGUGGCAAGCGUUGUCCGGAUUUAUUGGGCGUAAAGCGAGCGCAGGCGGUUUUUUAGGUCUGAUGUGAAAGCCUUCGGCUUAACCGGAGAAGUGCAUCGGAAACCGGGAGGCUUGAGUGCAGAAGAGGACAGUGGAACUCCAUGUGUAGCGGUGAAAUGCGUAGAUAUAUGGAAGAACACCAGUGGCGAAGGCGGCUGUCUGGUCUGUAACUGACGCUGAGGCUCGAAAGCAUGGGUAGCGAACAGGAUUAGAUACCCUGGUAGU
rnacentral:rRNA from 1 species